UAUUAAAAUCAUUGCUGUUUCUUUAUACAGUAAUGCUGCAUUAUUUUUAUACGCAAAAUCUAUAAUUAAUUAUUGGUGGCGGCUAUAAUAACUAUUGGUAUACAUAUAUGUAUAUAGGUGAUAAUGCAUACACCACUAUAUCUUUACUAAUUAUUACCAAUCAAUAUUAUUAUGCACAUGUGAAUUUAUCAAAUACGUUAACUUUCGUAUGCAAAACCUAAAUGACGAAAAUAUUACCGCGAUACCUCUUGUUCCUCCUGCUUCUUAGGUAAGCAUGUUGCGGACUGCUUUAAUAAUAUGUCGUUAACUUUGGCACACGUUUCAAUGAGCAUUUACACCAAGAAUGUAUCAAGUAAGCAAAUAUGGUUGGAUGUAAUGAAAAACGAUAAAACAAAUGUGUACCCGAUUCUUUGUGAAGUUAAAUCGGCAAAAUGAUUGGAAUGGCGUUAUUUUCAACUUGAGCCAGUUGUAAUAUGAUUAAAAAAAAUUGAUGCCACGAAUCAUCGGACCCAAAUUGAUAUUUUUUUUAGUACGGUUCGAAAUUCGAAGUCGAAUGUGUGUAAGAUUUUUUACAAAGUGAGAAUGUAUCUGAUACAAAAAAUCUCUGCCAAACAAUUCUAACUACCCGGAAGUGUUAUAAACCUUCAAUUAUUUAGGGACUUUAAUUUUUGCGAAUAAAAACUAACAUGAAAGAUGUAGCAAAAUUUUAUAUUAUGUAUAUAUUUAACUUGGUACAUGCCACGUCUUUUACAAAUAUCAGUUGACGAUGAUACAAGUGGUGCCAAAGUGAUACUACAGAGCUUGUAUUUCACUUUCACUAUGCAUACUCUUUCGGGUAUAAGAAUUAAUGAUUUCUCAUGUGGAUUUUCUAAAUAUGCUUGAGCUACAGAUAUAAAUGUACAAAUAUGUAAAUUUACAGGAGUUGUUAAAUUGUUAGAUUUUUAAAAAAAAAGUAUUGAAAUAUUCUUGCCUAAAGUUAUAUUUCAUUUUCAGAAAUAUCUAUGGUUCGAGUUCUAACUUUUUACAUAGCUCGCAUAGAGCGACCAAAUGCAUUUCAGCAUUAUUAUUUAAGAUUGUAAUGUAGUUUCACCAUUCAUUAGCAAAAUCCUUCUGCCUAUAAUACAAUGUUUUAUCAUUGACCGAUUGCCAAGUUAUAACAAUAAAAUGUGUCAAUGUCAAUUAUGCCUAAUGUAU